UCUUUGGGAUGAGUAAAGAAAGCAGUUUUUUGAGUUGGAACCUACUCUUGGUGAAGAUGCUGUGAA
rnacentral:pre_miRNA from 1 species